rnacentral:misc_RNA from 1 species
GAUGAAGAACGUAGCGAAAUGCGAUAAGUAAUGUGAAUUGCAGAAUUCAGUGAAUCAUCGAAUCUUUGAACGCACAUUGCGCCCGCCAGUAUUCUGGCGGGCAUGCCUGUUCGAGCGUCAUUUCAACCCUCAAGCCCCAGCGGCCUGGUGUUGGGGACCGGCGACCUCGCCCGAGCCCGCCCUCCGGGGCGCGUGCCCGGUGCGUCCGCCGCCCCCGAAAUGAAUUGGUGGCCUCGUCGCGGCCUCCUCUGCGUAGUAGCACAACCUCGCAAGCGGGAGCGCGACGCGGCCACUGCCGUAAAACGCCCAACUUUUUUAGAGUUGACCUCGGAUCAGGUAGGAAUACCCGCUGAACUUAAGCAUAUCAAUAAGCGGAGGA